rnacentral:rRNA from 1 species
GGUUAAGUGACUAAGCGUACACGGUGGAUGCCUUGGCAGUCAGAGGCGAUGAAGGACGUAGUAACUUGCGAUAAGCGUAGAUGAGGCAGUAACAGCCACUUGAGUCUACGAUUUCCGAAUGGGGAAACCCACUGGCAUAAGCCAGUAUCAUUGAGUGAAUACAUAGUUCAAUGAAGCGAACCGGGAGAACUGAAACAUCUAAGUACCCCGAGGAAAAGAAAUCAACCGAGAUUCCGAAAGUAGCGGCGAGCGAAAUUGGAUUAGCCCUUAAGCUUUACAUGUGUUAGACGAACGGUCUGGAAAGUCCGACGAUACAGGGUGAUAGUCCCGUAGUUGUAGAUGCAUGUUCAGUGAAAUCGAGUAGGGCGGGACACGUGUUAUCCUGUCUGAAUAUGGGGGGACCAUCCUCCAAGGCUAAAUACUCCUGACUGACCGAUAGUGAACCAGUACCGUGAGGGAAAGGCGAAAAGAACCCCUGUGAGGGGAGUGAAAUAGAACCUGAAACCGUGUACGUACAAGCAGUAGGAGCACCUUCGUGGUGUGACUGCGUACCUUUUGUAUAAUGGGUCAGCGACUUAUAUUCAGUGGCAAGGUUAACCAUCUAGGGGAGCCGUAGGGAAACCGAGUCUUAACUGGGCGCCAUAGUCUCUGGAUAUAGACCCGAAACCGAGUGAUCUAGCCAUGGGCAGGUUGAAGGUUGAGUAACAUCAACUGGAGGACCGAACCGACUAAUGUUGAAAAAUUAGCGGAUGACUUGUGGCUAGGGGUGAAAGGCCAAUCAAACUCGGAGAUAGCUGGUUCUCCCCGAAAGCUAUUUAGGUAGCGCCUCGGACGAAUACUACUGGGGGUAGAGCACUGUUAAGGCUAGGGGGUCAUCCCGACUUACCAACCCUUUGCAAACUCCGAAUACCAGUAAGUACUAUCCGGGAGACACACGGCGGGUGCUAACGUCCGUCGUGGAGAGGGAAACAACCCAGACCGCCAGCUAAGGUCCCAAAUUACAGCUAAGUGGGAAACGAUGUGGGAAGGCUUAGACAGCUAGGAUGUUGGCUUAGAAGCAGCCAUCAUUUAAAGAAAGCGUAAUAGCUCACUAGUCGAGUCGGCCUGCGCGGAAGAUGUAACGGGGCUAAGUUGUAAACCGAAGCUGCGGCAAUAUCUUUUAGAUAUUGGGUAGGGGAGCGUUCUGUAAGCCGUUGAAGGUGUGUUGUAAAGCAUGCUGGAGGUAUCAGAAGUGCGAAUGCUGACAUGAGUAACGACAAGGGGGGUGAAAAACCUCCCCGCCGGAAGACCAAGGGUUCCUGUCCAACGUUAAUCGGGGCAGGGUAAGUCGACCCCUAAGGCGAGGCCGAAAGGCGUAGUCGAUGGGAAACGGGUUAAUAUUCCCGUACUUCUUACAAUUGCGAUGGGGGGACGGAGAAGGCUAGGUGGGCCUGGCGACGGUUGUCCAGGUUCAAGUGCGUAGGCUGAGUGUUUAGGUAAAUCCGGA